rnacentral:rRNA from 2 species
CGGGAACUCUGAGACAGGUGCUGCAUGGCUGUCGUCAGCUCGUGUUGUGAAAUGUUGGGUUAAGUCCCGCAACGAGCGCAACCCUUAUCCUUUGUUGCCAGCGCGUGAUGGCGGGAACUCAAAGGAGACUGCCGGUGAUAAACCGGAGGAAGGUGGGGAUGACGUCAAGUCAUCAUGGCCCUUACGAGUAGGGCUACACACGUGCUACAAUGGCGUAUACAAAGGGAAGCGACCCCGCGAGGGCAAGCGGAACUCAUAAAGUACGUCGUAGUCCGGAUUGGAGUCUGCAACUCGACUCCAUGAAGUCGGAAUCGCUAGUAAUCGUAGAUCAGAAUGCUACGGUGAAUACGUUCCCGGGCCUUGUACACACCGCCCGUCACACCAUGGGAGUGGGUUGCAAAAGAAGUAGGUAGCUUAACCUCCGGGAGGGCGCUUACCACUUUGUGAUUCAUGACUGGGGUGAAGUCGUAACAAGGUAACCGUAGGGGAACCUGC